rnacentral:lncRNA from 1 species
GUUGAUAGGCCUUUAUUUUAUUUAUUUGUAUGUGGUGCUUAGAAUCGAACCCAGUGUCUCACGGAUGCUAGGCGAGCGUGCUACCACUGAGCCUUUAAAAUUCUUUCCCAAACUAAUACACUGUAGAAAGUAUUUGCAAUUUAUAUAUGAUGACAAGAAAUUAACAGAAAAGCUCAUAAUAGCCUUGUAGAAACAUUAACAAGUAGAAUACAACAACAAAAAUAAAGAAAUAUCAUCAGUAAACAUAAAUAUGUCCAUUCCCAAAAUUUCCAAAAGCAAAUUUUUUAAAAAGGAUAUAUGUGCCAAUUUAUAAAAAAAAUGUAUAAUUUUUAAACAUCUUCAUCAUAUUGAAUCACCUGUAUACAUAAAGUUUGCAUAUUUCAAAAAUAUUUUCCUCUCAUGAAAUUUGCAAAUUUCAAGAGACAGAUGAUAUCCAUCCUAUACAGAUGACAUAGUAUACUGAUAUAAUGGUAUCAGAAAACACGUUGGCCACAUGAUUGAUCUAGUGUGGCUAUGCAACUGUUUCAAUCAUUAGGUAGAAAAGUCAGUUAUUACAAGGACCACUUUUUAUUGUAGUUCAAACCUCAUCAAGCAUCUAAGUCUUCAUUAUUUCUCUCUGUAAAAGGGAAUUAAGUCAGUCUAGCACAAAAACAACUUGAAGAGUAAUCCCAACCUGUAGCUCUUGAUUACAAAUUAUAUGCACAACUUCUAAAAGCACAUUUCUUUAUCCUUCAUCUAAAAAAAUACAAUUAUCUAAGCAGCAUUUUGUAUUGUGUUCUACUGACCUCCCUCAAUGUAUAUACAUUUUGGAAUUGUGUACUUGUAAACCCAGAAAGGAAAUGAAAAUGAAAUAUCA